AUUGAACGCUGGCGGCAGGCCUAACACAUGCAAGUCGAGCGGAUGAAGGGAGCUUGCUCCUGGAUUCAGCGGCGGACGGGUGAGUAAUGCCUAGGAAUCUGCCUGGUAGUGGGGGAUAACGUCCGGAAACGGGCGCUAAUACCGCAUACGUCCUGAGGGAGAAAGUGGGGGAUCUUCGGACCUCACGCUAUCAGAUGAGCCUAGGUCGGAUUAGCUAGUUGGUGGGGUAAAGGCCUACCAAGGCGACGAUCCGUAACUGGUCUGAGAGGAUGAUCAGUCACACUGGAACUGAGACACGGUCCAGACUCCUACGGGAGGCAGGAGUGGGGAAUAUUGGACAGUGGGCGAAAGCCUGAUCCAGCCAUGCCGCGUGUGUGAAGAAGGUCUUCGGAUUGUAAAGCACUUUAAGUUGGGAGGAAGGGCAGUAAGUUAAUACCUGGCUGUUUUGACGUAACCAACAGAAUAAGCACCGGCAAACUCCGU
rnacentral:rRNA from 1 species